UUUUAUCUUUAAUUUUAUUAUCGUGAAAGGGCUUCCAGAAUGAGUCGUAGGAACCAAUGGCAUCCUGGAAAUCAAAUUUGCCGAUGGCAUGAAACUGAAGAAUGACUCACAGAAUGGAAGCCAGAAUCAAGACUCAGAAAGAUCUGUACAGGCUGCAACACUGAGCCAAAUCUGGGGAAAUAAAAUGAAAUGGAAAUAAAAGUAAAGUCCUAUUCUCCAGUCAACAAAAGAAGAACAUUGAGCAGAACUUGAAAGAAACACACAUGAAACAUUCUAGGCAUUCAUUUAAUUAUUAACUCAGUGUGAGUUAGAUGCAAUUGCCAAAAAAACCUGAUAUGACCUUAGAUUCGAUUUUUAGUAAGCAUAUUUCCAGGGCAAAGAGGAUGACAGCUGCUCUUACUCUAGACUGAGCCCAACCACAGCCAUGCUUGACAUGUCACAUUACGUUUUGAGAGCCACACUCUAACUGGAGCAGAAGCAAAGUGAGUUGAGAGUAGAGCAUCCAGGAUUAUAAGAGCACUGAGGAGCACCUUGAAGGAGAUGAGAAUGUUUAGCCUGUGGGAAAUAAGAUGUAAUGGAGAACUGAGAACUGUCUUGAGUAUUUGAAGGCUGCCAUGGGGAAAUGGAGUAUAGGCGUAGGGCAGAACAGGGCAAAAAGAGUGGAAGACACAGGUGUAUAAACCUCAUCUCAAUUUAAGUAAGAAUUCUAUAAUAACUAUGGCUGAGAUGCCCAGCAGGUAACAGGUUGCCCCUGAAUUGGCAAAGGCCUAUUCCAGCUUGCCGUGAGCGCUGAGGUAUCCUUCCCUAAAUGCAGUGGGGCUGCAUGAUCAUGGUGCCUGGUCUCUCUGAAAGGCCACAGUUCUUCGUACCUCCUAAUCCCAGAUCUGAAUUAUACAGAAGUGGCCCAAACCGUAAUUGACUACAGUACGUAUUCUUAGGAAUACAUCAGAGGGUCCAUUUGCCUUCUGGAAAUGGAAUGAAACAUCAGUUUAACUUUUACAAUAAGCCAUUUAAUCCAGCCCCUAAUAAGCCACUUCUUGUUGUGUUAGCUGGCAUUCGCAUUGCCACUGCUUAAGCUGGAGAAGUGCUGGUAGUUUUCUUGUCCAUCAUUUGCUCAGAAACCAGAGCAGCUGCUACGAUGGCUAAAAUAAGCUAAAAUCCCUUAAGACAUGAAUUGUGAUCACAGAUUUUUUUAACGCAUUUUUUUGUUGUUCAUUUAAUUGAGGUCCAAGACUACAACAGAUUUUUGCUUUCAAAUUAUGCAAUGAAAAUGUGGAAUAUACCUAGAGGGGCACACAGAUGAAUGGAGCUACAAAAUCAGCUUUUCCAAUGAACCAACCAUCAAUUCUGAUUACACAAUGAAAGACUCAACCAUACCUCAACUCUUUCUUCUGUUUUUGGUUAAAAAAUUGGAGUUAUCAUCUGUGUGCCUAGAAGGUAAUGUCAAACUUUAAAUUAUUUGCAACACCAUUUUGUCCGUAGGGAUUUAUGACCCCAGUUUUCAUUUAGGAAGAGUUAAUCAAGCUCCUACUCAGUAUAUUACUCUCAGAUUGACUUUGGAAGAAAAGCAUAGACCUCAAGCAUUUUCUUCCCUUUUCUUCCCUAAGAUAAUUUUUAAAAGAGUAGAGCUGUCUGGAUCUACCAGAGUCAGCUUCAUUACCCUGCCUCCUUCCGGCACUACCCUGCCAGCUUCUCCUCCCUGUGCUAGACUGUUCAUAAAUGUACUCUAGGCUUAUGAUUUCCUGGGAGAGGAUUUUGUGACCUUGCUCAUUAACCUACAAAUGAGCCUGACAACCAGCCUAUUGGGAUUUUUUUUUUUCCAUGCAUCAGAUCUUAGUCUCACCUGCUGCUGGU
rnacentral:lncRNA from 1 species